rnacentral:tRNA from 3 species
GCGCCCGUAGCUCAGCGGAUAGAGCGUUAGGUUGCGGACCUAAAGGCCGUAGGUUCGAGUCCUACCGGGCGUACCA